GUCUAUAGCCAUAUCACUCUGAACUCACCCAAUCUCGGAACUCACCUGAUCUUGGAAGCUAAGCAGGGACGGGCCUGGUUACUACUUGGAUGGGAGAAUAAUGGAAUCUAUCAUGU
rnacentral:rRNA from 1 species